GCUGGGUAUAUAAUGAUCUUCCAGAUGCUCAGAAUUACAUCUCCCACAAUCAAAAUACAGUGCAGGGAUAUAAUAGGAUUUACUACUACCAAGAUUAAAGCUGAAAAUCCACCAACACAAAGGCUUAUUUAAAAAAGAAUGGAUGGUUGCAACACUUGAAGAAUCUGACCAGGAGCUUUGAACCUUUCAAGGAGGAAAUAGCAGUGGGAAUACAAACAAAGAUGAAAAUCAUCAUCAGAUGGUACCCCAUGCAAUUCAGAAGGAGGUGGAAACAACAGCUGGCCAUUACGAAGGAAAAUAUUCAAUACUGGGGAUGAAAAAUUCUAUGAAAUAAAUUCCAGAAAAUCAUGAGCAUGGACUUCUCUGGGUCACUCUGACCUCUGUGUGCGUAGAUAUUAGUAUCAAGGAUGUGGUAGUAUGUAUGCAUAAAACCAAUUAACUUUUUCCAGCCUUUUCAGGCUCAUUUGCUACCUUAAUCAGUCUCUAAGAGCAGGUGGUUAAAGAGAGAGUUUAAUCUUUUUUUUUUUUUUUUUUAAAUGUAAUUAUUGCCAUCUAUCCAAAUAAUUUUCAAUGGCUCAUUUUCCAUAUCCAAUUAAAGACAAGAGCAACAAUGCGACACUGGCAGCAAGUUAACAAUGGAUCCCCAGGAUCACACAGGCCUAUGUUUGUUUGAAAUAAAACAAGAUUCUGGCAUGAGUUUAUCACCUUAUGCCCAACAGCUCUGGUGAAAGCUAAGAAGGAAAAAGGACCCAAGACAGUAUUAUGAAAACACAGUCUGAUGGAAAAUUAUAGGUAAUACAAUCUGCAAGCUAUUUAGAAACGGAUAUAUCUGAUGGGGGGGAGAGAAGCACUGUACAAUAGUUUAAGUGGAGAGUUUUGGUUCUUAAAUUUAGCAGAAGCAAGCUUUUAAUUUUGUUUUUUUGUAAGAUCACUGCCACCAUAUAAAUAUGCAUAGCAUGUUUUGGGAGGCAGAAAGAUGGUACCAAGACAGCUUGUGCUUAUGGGCAAGGCUACCACAUCCAUUAGCCCAAAAAGUUUCCUGUUUUCAACAUCAGCUAAACUCUGGAUUAAAGCAUUAGGUCCUCAUCCAACUCCCAUUGACAACAAUGGCACACUGUAAGUACCCUCCCUCUCAUCCUGGGAGGGAACCCUCCAAGACAGCGUGAAGGGAUGAUGAUAGGACAGUGUGAGGAAGCUUGCAUUGUUGUUGCCCAGGCUGUACCUAUCCUGUGGAUACAUAAAAGCCCUUCAGGGGAGUCAAAAUAGACCCUUCUUCAUCACUAAAUUACUUUAUUACAAAUAAUCCAUCAUUCUUCCCCUCCCCCCAACUAAUAUUUUUAUCUGUUUCUCUGGGGUUGACCAAGUAUGGUUACAUCUUUCCGGUCACUUAACUAGAGGAAAUAGUUUAAGACAGCACAGUACAUUCUUUAAGCUCUUAUUGGUGCUGUCAAUGCUCUAGGCUUUUCAAAGGGAGACGGAAAUGUAAACACAGCUGCUUAUUGAAACUACAUAAAACAAAAGCUACAAAACAAACUUCCUUUAGCUACAAAAAGAUCGCAAGUUUGUACUCACACACACUAAAUUGAAACAUGAUUCAAAUGGAACACCCCUGUAGCCCUAAGAAAGUCACUUGUCCAUAUCACGAUAAAUGUUUAUUGAGUGC